ACAGCCAGCCAAGCCACCGCAACGCAGAGAGAGCUCUCCAGAAAUCCCCAAACCCUCGGCCCUCUCUCUUUCUCUCUUCGCCGAAAUCGAAGAGAGAAAUCGAAUCGCCCGCCGCUCUCCCCUUCGCUUCCUUGCUUGUCAAAAACCCUAGUCGAAGGUACGCCGCUGCGCCUUGCUUGCUUUCGCUGGCGGCGCUCGUCCGGCGGGCGGGUGGAACCCUAGCCGAAGGUACGCCGCUGCGCCUUGCUUGCUUUCGCUGGCGCCGCUCGUCCGGCGGGCGGGUGGGGGUUUUCUUUUUUUCUGCUAGGUCGUGUUCGGCGCGGUGCUUUUUGAAGGUAGUUCGGUGGCCGGCUGCUGAUCGAGGAUUCCCCGAUGGUUGUUCUUGGGGAAAGCAAAAUUUGGGAGCUGAAGCGACUAGCUGCCUUUGGAAAAAUUCAGCUAUCAGUGAUCUUAUGCCUGGCUCCCAAAAAUGGUGAUUUUGAUGGAAUUCCAUGUGACGUGAAGGAUGUAAUUAAUUCUUAUCAGUUGAGUCCUUUUGUGGCAAAAGUGGGCUGUUUUCUCGUUAGCAUUUCAUGUUGAUUUCCCCAUAUUUUGCAUUAUCUUCAAUAACUUGUAGAGAGAACCAUAUGCAGCUUUGACAAGUUAUAGUAUCCAUGAGCAAUAAUGUUUACUUACAGAGCAUCUUACACUACCAUGGACCCUAGCGUAUUUGACAAUGAACCACUAGCAUAUUGGACAUCUGUUCAUGCCUUUUCUCUUCUCCCACUUUCCAAGUUCUAGAAAAUUCUAUUUCACAAAUUCUCCCUCAUUUUCUCUUUUGGACGAGACAUCUCAUUUAAGUGACUAAUGCAUUAUAUGUCUAUGUCAAAGCUGUCGCUUAGCUGAAAAGAGUUUUUGGCAAUGAUCUCCUUUCUGCUGCUUAAGGAGGUAUAGUUGUGUUUAAAGUGCACUAAUAUAGGCUUCGCUUGGGAAUUUCUUUUGGUCUUUGUAUUUUUUUUUUCAAUGCUUUAUAGGCUAUUUAUGACAAAGAGGGCUUCUUGGCAUUGGUUGUUUACACUAUAAUUGUUUGCUCUAUUAUGUCUGUGCAGUGAACUGUACUUUCAAGUGAAUAAGUAGUUGGAACAUCUUUACCGGUCGAUAAUAAUGAAGCAAUGGCAAACAUCUGUAUUGUCACUGGCAUUAGAUUGUGUAACAUAGCACUUCAGUGGCUGGAUGGGAUGUUACUGUAUAGUUGUGCUUAAGGAGAUAACUGAGAUUGAAGGCCUUGAUCAUUUAGAGCCAUUGGAGAACUCGAGAAUUAUUGGAUGCAAAUCUGUGGAAAACUUGCUGGAUCUAUCAAACUUCAAAAGCCUGAAAUCUCUGUACGUUGAAGAUUGUGAAAAGAUACGUGAUCCUGAGAUCCAUCAAAGGAGUUAACUGUUUUUGGGCACGGCACAGCUUUAUUAUCUUCAAGUUAAGCAAUGGUAAGCUUUUUGUUCCGGAAAAAAGGGCCAGAAUGAAGAUUUUAAUGUUGAUGUUUUUUUUUUCCUUUUUGUGAUCGUGUUCUCCAUAUAUGUACAUCUAGGUGCAACAGGACCAUUGAUAUGAUGAAAAUUUUGCCGUAUUAAGUCUGAGGUCCGAGCUUUAAAGAGAACUGAAGCAGACAUGGUCAUCAAUCUGAUGGCAAUUGCCAUUUCUUGACCAAUCUGGCUAUCCUGUACUAUUGACUGUCAAUGCAGCUUCAAAUUCAACUCUUUGCACACUAAAAAGAGAUAUCACCAACCAUAUUAUAUUCUACUGUGAUGAAGAAGAUAAAUUAGUAUCGUAGGAUUUAGUAAUAAUGUACUUCAAAUAGAACCCGGAAUCACAGUAUUCACAACUUAGUACCACAGACUCAAGCAAAGCCAGUAUUAUAUCUCAAGCGGACCAUAUAAUGAAGGGUCUCCUUAGAACCUCA